CACACAUUCAGAUUCACCACAAAGAGAGAAGGGAGCUUGGAGCUGUCAAGGGAGCUUGGAGCUGUCCUGGGAACUUCCUUGCUGCCAUCAUCUAGUUCUUCUCCUCUCUUUAUCCUAUCUAUGUAUUUCUUAUUUUCUGUAUUCAUAGUUAUGUCUAACUAAUCCAUUUAGUUAGGGCUUAGGAUGAAGCCCUAGUCAUGAAUAUUCAAUGUUAUGGAUGAUUUUAUAGUUAAUUGAUUUCCUUGCUUUUAUUAUCAAGUUGUUAAUCUCCAGUUUAUUAGGUGCUUGAUGUAUGCUUUCUUGGAGUAGCUAACUAGGAUUUUAUGCAUCUAGCACAGGUUGGGAAGGGGUUUAGAUUCACCAAUUCUACUCUCCUUUCACAAGCA
rnacentral:lncRNA from 1 species